GACGUAGGAGGCGAGCGUUAUCCGGAUUCACUGGGCGUAAAGCGCAUGUAGGCGGUUGUGUAAGUCGUGUGUAAAAGCCCCUGGCUCAACUGGGGGAGGUCAUGCGAGACUACACGGACUUGAGGGCAACAGAGGCACGCGGAACUCCCGGUGUAGCGGUGGAAUGCGUAGAGAUCGGGAAGAACACCCGUGGCGAAGGCGGCGUGCUGGGUUGCGACUGACGCUGAGAUGCGAAAGUGUGGGGAGCAAACGGG
rnacentral:rRNA from 1 species